rnacentral:rRNA from 1 species
CCAGACUCCUACGGGAGGCAGCAGUGGGGAAUAUUGCACAAUGGGGGAAACCCUGAUGCAGCGACGCCGCGUGAGUGAAGAAGUAUUUCGGUAUGUAAAGCUCUAUCAGCAGGAAAGAAAAUGACGGUACCUGACUAAGAAGCCCCGGCUAACUACGUGCCAGCAGCCGCGGUAAUACGUAGGGGGCAAGCGUUAUCCGGAUUUACUGGGUGUAAAGGGAGCGUAGACGGUGAGGCAAGUCUGAAGUGAAAGGCGGGGGCUCAACCCCCGGACUGCUUUGGAAACUGUUUGACUGGAGUGCAGGAGAGGUAAGUGGAAUUCCUAGUGUAGCGGUGAAAUGCGUAGAUAUUAGGAGGACCACCAGUGGCGAAGGCGGCCUGCUGGACGAUGACUGACGCUGAGGCUCGAAAGCGUGGGGAGCAAACAGGAUUAGAUACCCCUGUACA